UCCAUCGAUAAGUUCACAUCUCUAAAACUAAGGGAGACUUUGUCGGUAGAAAGCUUUGCCAGUUCUCAAAUGAGAGCUCUAGCUCCUACCCAGUCCAAACGCCUUACUUCCACUCAAAUCCUCUUACUCGACUACUCUUUUCUACCUCUGUUCUCAGGCUCAAAGCUGACUUAAAUAUCAGAGGGUUAAGAACCGAAGGAUCCCUAUCUAAUUUUUUGACUUAUUUUACAGAUUUUUUGGAGAAGAUUCAGAUC
rnacentral:lncRNA from 1 species